AAAAAUCUAUCGUCACCCACUUGAUUGUCGUUCCAAUGACUUGGCUGCAUCAACACUAGCGGCGGUACAUAUAGGAUUUGAUUGAUGUGGCAAUAUUGGAUUGCUUCGGCCCAACGACCACGCCCACCUGCGUGCACACCUAGCCGUAAAUGUAAUUUCAAGCAAAAGCUGGCACUUCGUAGAAUUCCAUGAUAUUAGUUGACUGCAGCGUUUUCCCAAAUUACAUGGACAAGUGUCCUUGUUGAGGACUCGUGAUAGCCUAGAUCAUGAAUAUAAUGAGUUUGCUCUCAAAGUGCGAACUGCUUACUUGGAUCGCACUGCAAUG
rnacentral:sRNA from 1 species